UACGGAGGGAGCUAGCGUUGUUCGGAAUUACUGGGCGUAAAGCGCACGUAGGCGGCUUUGUAAGUUAGAGGUGAAAGCCCGGAGCUCAACUCCGGAAUUGCCUUUAAGACUGCAUCGCUUGAAUCCAGGAGAGGUGAGUGGAAUUCCGAGUGUAGAGGUGAAAUUCGUAGAUAUUCGGAAGAACACCAGUGGCGAAGGCGGCUCACUGGUCCGGUUCUGACGCUGAGG
rnacentral:rRNA from 1 species